AAACCGUUACCAUUACUGAG
rnacentral:ncRNA from 2 species